GGGUGGUUUUGUUUAAUUCAGAUGUGAAAGCCCGGGGCUCAACCUUGGAAUUGCAUUUUGAAACUGGCAAACUAGAGUACUGUAGAGGGGGGGUAGAAUUUCAGGUGUAGCGGUGAAAUGCGUAGAGAUUUGAAGGAAUACCGGUGGCGAAGGCGGCCCCCUGGACAGAUACUGACACUCAGAUGCGAAAGCGUGGGGAGCAAACAGGAUUAGAUACCCUGGUAGUCCACGCCGUAAACGAUGUCUACUUGGAGGUUGUGGCCUUGAGCCGUGGCUUUCGGAGCUAACGCGUUAAGUAGACCGCCUGGGGAGUACGGUCGCAAGAUUAAAACUCAAAUGAAUUGACGGGGGCCCGCACAAGCGGUGGAGCAUGUGGUUUAAUUCGAUGCAACGCGAAGAACCUUACCUACUCUUGACAUCUACAGAAGCCAGCGGAGACGCAGGUGUGCCUUCGGGAACUGUAAGACAGGUGCUGCAUGGCUGUCGUCAGCUCGUGUUGUGAAAUGUUGGGUUAAGUCCCGCAACGAGCGCAACCCUUAUCCUUGUUUGCCAGCACUUCGGGUGGGAACUCCAGGGAGACUGCCGGUGAUAAACCGGAGGAAGGUGGGGACGACGUCAAGUCAUCAUGGCCCUUACGAGUAGGGCUACACACGUGCUACAAUGGCGCAUACAGAGGGCAGCCAACUUGCGAAAGUGAGCGAAUCCCAAAAAGUGCGUCGUAGUCCGGAUUGGAGUCUGCAACUCGACUCCAUGAAGUCGGAAUCGCUAGUAAUCGUGGAUCAGAAUGCCACGGUGAAUACGUUCCCGGGCCUUGUACACACCGCCCGUCACACCAUGGGAGUGGGCUGCAAAAGAAGUGGGUAGUUUAACCUUCGGGAGGACGCUCACCACUUUGUGGUUCAUGACUGGGGUGAAGUCGUAACAAGGUAACCG
rnacentral:rRNA from 1 species